rnacentral:lncRNA from 1 species
AUGGGUGGGGUCGAGAGAGUGGGGAGGGGGCACGGCCGCGCCUCCCUUCCCGGGAUUGGCUCCUGCGCCCCGCCAAGGGGGCGCGCCCUGCGGCAGGGGGGCUGCUGGGCGGAAGCGGAAGCAGCGCGCCAGCCUCGCGUGUCCCCGCAGCCACCCGGGAGCCCUGCGUGUGCACCCCCGCGGCCACCUGGGGGCCCUGCGUGCGCAUCCCCGCGGCCACCUGGGGGCCCUGCGUGUGCGCCCCCGCGGCCACCUGGAGGCCCUGCGUGCGCAUCCCCGCGGUCACCUGGGGGCCCUGCGUGCGCACCCCCGCGGCCACCUGGGGGCCCUGCGUGCGCAUCCCCGCGGUCACCUGGGGGCCCUGCGUGCGCAUCCCCGCGGCCACCUGGGGGCCCUGCGUGUGCACCCCCGCGGUCACCUGAAGGCCCUGCGUUCGCAUCCCCGCGGUCACCUGGGGGCCCUGCGUGUGCACCCCCGCGGCCACCUGGGGGCCCUGCGUGCGCAUCCCCGCGGUCACCUGGGGGCCCUGCGUGCGCAUCCCCGCGGCCACCUGGGGGCCCUGCGUGUGCACCCCCGCGGUCACCUGAAGGCCCUGCGUUCGCAUCCCCGCGGUCACCUGGGGGCCCUGCGUGUGCACCCCCGCGGCCACCUGGGGGCCCUGCGUGCUCAUCCCCGCGAUCACCUGGGGGCCCUGCGUGCGCGCCCCCGAGGCCACCUGGGGGCCCUGCGUGCGCGCCCCCGCGGUCACCUGGGGGCCCUGCGUGCUCAUCCCCGCGGUCACCUGGGGGCCCUGCGUGCACAUCCCCGCGGUCACCUGGGGGCCCUCCGUGCGCGCCCCCGCGGUCACCUGGGGGCCCUGCGUGCACAUCCCCGCGGUCACCUGGGGGCCCUGCGUGCGCGCCCCCGAGGCCACCUGGGGGCCCUGCGUGCACAUCCCCGCGGUCACCUGGGGGGGCCCUGCGUGCGCAUCCCCGCGGCCAGCUGGGGGCCCCCACAGUACCAACUGUGCUCCCCGCGCAAAGGCACAACCUGCUCCCGGUCCCUAGCAGCGGGGUCUCUGCCUUCCCUGGAGAGGAAGGAGGAGCUGUGGGGGGCGCAAACAGACGGUGA